CUAACAAAGCGUCUAAACGAGG
rnacentral:miRNA from 1 species